rnacentral:rRNA from 1 species
CAAGUCGAGCGGGAUUUUUUCCUGUAGCAAUACAGGGAAAAAUCUAGCGGCGAACGGGUGCGUAACACGUGGGCAAUCUGUCUUAAAGUGGGGGAUAGCUCGGCGAAAGCCGAAUUAAUACCGCAUGUGAUCAGGGGCGACAUCGCUCCAAAAUCAAAGGUGGCGCAAGCUACCGCUUUUUGAGGGGCCCGCGGCCUAUCAGCUUGUUGGUGAGGUAACGGCUCACCAAGGCUAUGACGGGUAGCUGGUCUGAGAGGACGACCAGUCACACUGGGACUGAGACACGGCCCAGACACCUACGGGUGGCAGCAGUCGAGAAUUUUUGACAAUGGGGGAAACCCUGAUCGAGCGACGCCGCGUGGAGGAUGAAGGUCUUCGGGUUGUAAACUCCUGUCAUUUGGGAACAAGGCGCACGUAUUAACUGUACGUGCGUUGAUAGUACCAGAAGAGGAAGGGACGGCUAACUCUGUGCCAGCAGCCGCGGUAAUACAGAGGUCCCAAGCGUUGUUCGGAUUCAUUGGGCGUAAAGGGUGUGUAGGUGGCGCCGUAAGUCGGGUGUGAAAUUUCGGAGCUUAACUCCGAAACUGCAUUCGAUACUGCGGUGCUUGAGGACUGGAGAGGAGACUGGAAUUUACGGUGUAGCAGUGAAAUGCGUAGAUAUCGUAAGGAAGACCAGUGGCGAAGGCGGGUCUCUGGACAGUUCCUGACACUGAGACACGAAGGCCAGGGGAGCAAACGGGAUUAGAUACCCCGGUAGUCCUGGCAGUAAACGGUGCACGUUUGGUGUGGGAGGAUUCGACCCCUUCUGCGCCGGAGCUAACGCGUUAAACGUGCCGCCUGGGGAGUACGGUCGC